rnacentral:rRNA from 1 species
AACGAACGCCGGCGGCAGGCCUAAAACAUGCAAGUCGAACGAUCUAGCAAUAGAUAGUGGCGCACGGGUGAGUAACACGUGGGAAUAUCCCUUUCACUACGGAACAACGUCGGGAAACUGACGCUAAUACCGUAUAAUGUCUCCGGACCAAAGAUUUAUCGGUGAAAGAUUAGCCCGCGUCUGAUUAGCUAGUUGGUGAGGUAACGGCUCACCAAGGCAACGAUCAGUAGCUGGUCUGAGAGGAUGAUCAGCCACACUGGAACUGAGACACGGUCCAGACUCCUACGGGAGGCAGCAGUUAGGAAUAUUGGACAAUGGGGGCAACCCUGAUCCAGCCAUGCCGCGUGUGUGACGAAGGCCUUAGGGUUGUAAAGCACUUUCGUCUACGAAGAUAAUGACAGUAGUAGAAGAAGAAGCUCCGGCUAAAUUCGUGCCAGCCGCCGCGGUAA